UUACAAAAGAGCUGCACAAAAUUUUUCCCAAAAACACAUCAUUUCUCGCUUCUUCUCCUUCCUCUUCUCUGUUUACUGCUUCUCCCUAAAACAUUUUUUCAUGUCGCCGCUUCUCCUUCCCUUUUCCCACCGAUGCGUCGCCGCAGCCGUUCCCCAAUCGCCGCUGCUCUUUCCCCUCUUUGGUUCUCUGCGUGCUUGUUUUGUUCGUCUCAGUUGAUUGGUGCCGGUGGGUUAUGGACUAUGAAAAACUAUGGAAGAAGCCUCGUAGGUUGUGAUUUUUUACCCUGUCUGGAGCCUAGGAAGUUGUAUAAACCUCCUGUAAAGUCAAAUGGUUACCUGCUUGUCCUAACUAAUGGUGGUCUUAAUCAAAAGCGGGUUGGGGUUUGAUAUGUUAUAUGGUGACUGUGGUCUGGAUCAUUAAUGCGACUCUUGUGAUCCCUAAACUUGACAAGAGGUUAUUUUGGCAAGACUCAAGGUAUACAUUGUUUUUUCUUUUCACUUGACAUGAAAUAGGGUGACCUAAAAUUGGAAUUAUCUAUCUCUUAUUCUAAUCUCUCGGAAAAUUGGUUGCAGCAACUUUGCAGAUUUUUUUUUAUCCAGACCAUUUCAUUGCUAAUGAUAUUAAAGUAGUUCGGAAGCUACCUAAGGAACUUUUGACUUGUCCUAGAGAAGUGAAGCAUUUUCGUAGUUGGUCUGGGUAAAAUCAAAUGUGGGCAUUAGAAUAACAUUAGGAAUCUGUUUUGCUAACUACUCUUAUCCAGAUUUUUUCACAUUGCCCAACCAGAAAUCAGGUUGCAGGGUUAUCCCUCCUAGCUUUCUCCAUAACAGCUUUGCCAUUGUAACUCUUUAUUUUAACACUUCCAUUUACCUCCUACAUCAGGCAACAGAUCAGCAGCAACAACAGAUCAAAAGCAGCAUAUUAGAGAAGCAGUUGUGAAACUGAUCUGCUGCUGCUUCCGAUCUGCUGUUGCAGAUCUGUUGUGAGCAGAUCAAAACCAACAACAUAUCAUAUCAGUAGUUCUGAAUCUGAUAUGUUCCUACUUAUGAUAUGAUGUUGCUGCUACUUUCGAUAUGCUGUUCAAGCCCAAUAUUGUUGCUCACUCUAUUAAAUCUCUUUCUCGUUUUUCAUAAUCUACAUGCUCCGAUUUGCUUUGCAUUUGAAUUUCGGUUAAUAAAAUAGACUGACUACUGGUUUUCUUAUUUUGUGAAGAGUCUUUUCAAUGUUGAAAAUGAUCCAAUCAAGAAAAAAUAUUUCUAAAAGUUGUGGGCAUAAGAUUCAGGGAUUUCAUGCAAGGCCAAGUUAGUGAGUGGUUGGAUUACUAAAACGAGACAGAGAGUUUGAAAUCAGUGAAGUGUGCACAACAAACAGGCAAUACGGAUUGCGGCUACUACGUGAUGAAGCUCAUGUACGAUAUAGUCACAAGAUCUCGAAAAGGUAACUUCAUCAACGCGCAUUCAAAUUUCGUCUCCAAAAUCGUACAAUUGAAGGUAUUAAAUAAUCUGAGGUAGCGGCCUUUCACCUUUGAGGAGAUAGAUGAAGUUCGAGAAAUGUUGGUAAACUUCAUUACCAGUGAUUGUCUUUGAUAUUUUCUUCUAGUGAAUCUUAAAUUACGGAUGCUAGCUAGUUUUCAUAUGAUUGUAAUGUAAUCGACUUUUAUAUUUACAAUUAUAUUCUAUUUAAUUUAAUUAUAUAUAUGUUAGUGAAUUAAA